CCUACGGGAGGCAGCAGUGAGGAAUAUUGGUCAAUGGGCGCGAGCCUGAACCAGCCAAGUAGCGUGAAGGAUGACUGCCCUACGGGUUGUAAACUUCUUUUAUAAAGGAAUAAAGUGAGGCACGUGUGCCUCUUUGUAUGUACUUUAUGAAUAAGGAUCGGCUAACACCGUGCCAGCAGCCGCGGUAAUAUGGAGGAUCCGAGGGUUAUCCGGAUUUAUUGGGUUUAAAGGGAGCGUAGAUGGGUUGUUAAGUCAGUUGUGAAAGUUUGCGGUUCAACCGUAGAAUUGCAGUUGAUACUGGCAGCCUUGAGUGCAGUUGAGGUAGGCGGAAUUCGUGGUGUAGCGGUGAAAUGCUUAGAUAUCACGAAGAACUCCGAUUGCGAAGGCAGCUUA
rnacentral:rRNA from 1 species